rnacentral:rRNA from 1 species
UACGGAGGGUGCAAGCGUUGCUCGGAAUUAUUGGGCGUAAAGGGCAGGUAGGUGGUCUUAUUUGUCUGGGGUGAAAUCCCAGGGCUUAACCCUGGAAGUGCCUUAGAAACGGUAAGACUAGAGUCCUAGAGGGGGUCGUGGAAUUCCUGGUGUAGCGGUGAAAUGCGUAGAUAUCAGGAGGAACACCUGCGGUGUAGACGGCUUACUGGACCAUAAAUGACGCUGAGGCACGAAAGCGUGGGUAGCAAACAGG